UAGAAUCACUGCCCUGGGAUCCCAGCUAG
rnacentral:piRNA from 1 species